UGCUUUGUACGGAACGAAACGGUCCGCCUUAAUACGGUGGGCUAAUGACGGUACCGUAAGAAUAAGCACCGGCUAACUACGUGC
rnacentral:rRNA from 1 species